rnacentral:rRNA from 1 species
UACUGCAUUUUUUCUUACACAUGUGUUUUUCUUUUUUUGAAAACUUUGCUUUGGUAGGCCUUCUAUAUGGGGCCUGCCAGAGAUUAAACUCAACCAAAUUUUAUUUAAUGUCAACCGAUUAUUUAAUAGUCAAAACUUUCAACAACGGAUCUCUUGGUUCUCGCAUCGAUGAAGAACGCAGCGAAAUGCGAUAAGUAAUAUGAAUUGCAGAUAUUCGUGAAUCAUCGAAUCUUUGAACGCACAUUGCGCCCUUUGGUAUUCCAAAGGGCAUGCCUGUUUGAGCGUCAUUUCUCCCUCAAACCCUCGGGUUUGGUGUUGAGCGAUACGCUGGGUUUGCUUGAAAGAAAGGCGGAGUAUAAACUAAUGGAUAGGUUUUUUCCACUCAUUGGUACAAACUCCAAAACUUCUUCCAAAUUCGACCUCAAAUCAGGUAGGACUACCCGCUGAACUUAAGCAUAUCAA